ACAAUGUGUGGGAGAUCUCACAGGAAAACAGUUUGUUUGUCCAACUCAGAAGCAGGGCAGAGAUGUACACCCAGAGAGAAAGGGUAUGGGCAUCCUCUCUAGAGAGGAGGAGUACGGUAAGUCAGCUACUAGGCAGAGAUGCACACCAGGAGAGGAGCGCGGGCGUUCUGAGUGCAGAGCAGCACGGUAUGGAGGCGAUGUAGAUCGCUUCUAUAGGACAGUCCUUCCAGGUCUUUGUUUACCCUUGGCCAGUUACCUUGUUUCUUUCUUCACACCUGGCUGAUCCCUGGGUCCUCCUCAAGAUACAUGUGCAUUUUUGCUAAGCUGGAUCCCACUCUAGAGGCCUAAGAGUGCAUGUCCACACUUACUAUGGGUGGACCUCCCACAAGCCUUCCUGCACAUGUGCAUACAGGGAGGCUUUCCUUGACCUCAGGAGUGGGUACUUUAUCUCUCUGCUCUAGCAGAGCUCAGCUUUUACCACUAGCUUUGUCCUUGGAGUAUCUGGGUGAGAAUAAAAGCUUGGAUUUUAUUCCACUUGACAAAUGCCAGGUGUCCAGCCCAGAGGCCCACUGUCUCCUGCCUCACUAUUAUGGUGGCCAUAAAUGUACUUUUUUUUUUUUUUUUUACUUUAAGUAUUUCUGUUUUGGAAACAUUUGUUGGUAAUGUUUCUAUCUAAAACAAAGAUUUUAGUGUUCUUGUGGUUUUUAUGCUCUGACGAAAACAUCCUUGAGACAAGCAUUGUAUUUGGGAGAUAUCCUCAUCGUAGCUUUAGGUUAUUCGAAUGUGAAAUUUCUAUAUUAGAGAUUAAACUACAGUCAAAGCACACAUGAUCAGGUAAUCUCCAAGUUCUGACACCUACCCAAGGGCACUGAAUCCUGGAAACAGCUACCUGAUACCAAGCCAGAAAUGUCUUUUUUUCCAAUCCCCAUAAGGGAUAGAAGAUACUCUCCAGGAGGCAGAUAGUCACCUGCAGCAGCAGGGACAGGACAUGUCCCCGAUGCCAUAUCACUGCCUUCUUGUCACACUGCAGGCAAAGAAUGUGACAUCACUUCAGCCUUAGCAGUCGCUGGCCAUUUCUUUUGACCCCGACCUUCAGUUGCUCAGUCGUGUCCGACUCUUUGCAACCCCAUGGACUGCAGC
rnacentral:lncRNA from 1 species